GAUGAACGCUGGCGGCGUGCUUAACACAUGCCAGUCGAACGGUGAAGCCAAGCUUGCUUGGUGGAUCAGUGGCGAACGGGUGAGUAACACGUGAGCAACCUGCCCUGGACUCUGGGAUAAGCGCUGGAAACGGCGUCUAAUACUGGAUAUGAGCCUCUUCCGCAUGGUGGGGGUUGGAAAGAUUUUUUGGUCUGGGAUGGGCUCGCGGCCUAUCAGCUUGUUGGUGAGGUAAUGGCUCACCAAGGCGUCGACGGGUAGCCGGCCUGAGAGGGUGACCGGCCACACUGGGACUGAGACACGGCCCAGACUCCUACGGGAGGCAGCAGUGGGGAAUAUUGCACAAUGGGCGAAAGCCUGAUGCAGCAACGCCGCGUGAGGGAUGACGGCCUUCGGGUUGUAAACCUCUUUUAGCAGGGAAGAAGCGAAAGUGACGGUACCUGCAGAAAAAGCGCCGGCUAACUACGU
rnacentral:rRNA from 1 species